rnacentral:lncRNA from 1 species
GCUUGGCCAUGGCUUCUACUUGGGCUGCUGACGUGCCCCCUAGAGAUCAUAUUGAUGACACCCAUUGUAGGUCAAUUCUAAGGAUUUGCUUUGGAUUUUUGGGGUUUAGUUCGUGCAUCAUUCUAAUUCAACCACACAUCCAUGUACCACCUAAGCCGACCUCAUCUAAUGAAUGUCUUGAUCUCAUCACAAAGCUGCAUACACUCGUCAGUAUU